CCUACGGGUGGCAGCAGUGAGGAAUAUUGGUCAAUGGACGAGAGUCUGAACCAGCCAAGUAGCGUGAAGGAUGACUGCCCUAUGGGUUGUAAACUUCUUUUAUAUAGGAAUAAAAUGUUCCACGUGUGGGAUUUUGUAUGUACUAUAUGAAUAAGGAUCGGCUAACUCCGUGCCAGCAGCCGCGGUAAUACGGAGGAUCCGAGCGUUAUCCGGAUUUAUUGGGUUUAAAGGGAGCGUAGGUGGGUUGUUAAGUCAGUUGUGAAAGUUUGCGGCUCAACCGUAAAAUUGCAGUUGAAACUGGCAGUCUUGAGUACAGUAGAGGUGGGCGGAAUUCGUGGUGUAGCGGUGAAAUGCUUAGAUAUCACGAAGAACUCCGAUUGCGAAGGCAGUUCACUGAACUGCCACUGACACUGAGGCUCGAAAGUGUGGGUAUCAAACAGGAUUAGAUACCCUUGUAGUC
rnacentral:rRNA from 1 species